rnacentral:lncRNA from 1 species
UGAGACUUUGGACUGCCAACUUUUGAGUUAAUGCUGAAGAAUUAGAGAAAGAACAAAUCAGUGUGAAGGAGAAUUGUCAGUAAAAUUACAAGAAAAGAUUGAGAUCAUAAUUGACCUUUGAGGAUAAUAAAAUUUAAAGACCAAAAGGAUGGACUUCACAGAAACAUGACCUUAGGUUGUUUUUGCAGUUGUAGUAACUGGUUAUAUGACCAACAAAAUAUGAAGAAUGGGUACAAAUUCUGAUAGUAAUGAUCAGUCACUUUGCAAAUAUAAAGCUACUAUUUACUAC